rnacentral:rRNA from 1 species
GACGAACGCUGGCGGCGUGCUUAACACAUGCAAGUCGAGCGGUAAGGCCCUUUCGGGGGUACACGAGCAGCGAACGGGUGAGUAACACGUGGGUGACCUGCCCUCAGCUCUGGGAUAAGCCCGGGAAACUGGGUCUAAUACUGGAUAUGACUCCAUGACGCAUGUUGUGGGGUGGAAAGCCUGUGCGGCUGAGGAUGGGGCCCGCGGCCUAUCAGCUUGUGGUGGGGUGAUGGCCUACCAAGGCGACGACGGGUAGCCGGCCUGAGAGGGCGACCGGCCACACUGGGACUGAGACACGGCCCAGACUCCUACGGGAGGCAGCAGUGGGGAAUCUUGCGCAAUGGGCGAAAGCCUGACGCAGCGACGCCGCGUGAGGGA